UAUUCUGCUCUUUCUUAUUGUGGUUAAUGAUUCACACAUUUUUUUGCUUCUGUCAUUUUAUGAUCAUUCAUGAGUUAUGUAUAACGAAGGCUCAUCAUCUCGUCGAAAUUUUGUGCUUAUCUCAAUCUAUGGUGAUGACUAAUAUUCCUCAAAAUGAAUACUUUAAGCAUGAUGAUGAGCCAGUUUCCGGUUAAUUGUGGGUUGCUUGUCAAGUUUAAUGGUAUAACUCCAUGUUAUGUGGACCUUAGGAGGUAAGUCCUUUAUUUUCAUGUGUGUCAUGUUCAUGGGUUUUGGGCCCAAGCAUUUGGAAUGCUCUGUCUGUCUUCAACCAUGCAUACAGACUGGGAAAGCAGAAGAUAUAUUGCUUCUUUAGCUAUCAUUGGCUUUAAACUAAUCCGAGCUCCUGUCUCAUUCUUCAAUGUAAGAAAGCAACAAAGAUGUUUGAUGCCAACCCUGCAGGGCUUGCGACAGAUAACAACCAAUAAAGGGAGAAGAAAGAGGCACCAGCUACCAAUUCAAAGGAGAAACACAAACAAGUUCACAUGCCCGGGGAGAAACAUUUCAAAUAUUAGCUCUUUUCUUGUGAAAUAACUCCUAUAGGUUCUUGAUGGGAUUAAGACAGUGGCUUCAAGUUGUGAUGAUCAUCAAUGAAGAAGAAUGUAUCAAGAUAUUUUGCUAAUAAUAAUGUGAUUUUGCAGAAA
rnacentral:lncRNA from 1 species